GAUGCUGAGUCAAAGUAUUGGAAAUGAAAUUGGCAUAUGAUUCAAGAUACUGUAAAUCUUCAAUACCAAACUGUAAACCCUAAUAACAAAUAUGUCUUCUCUCUGAUGUUUCCUACAAGGUAGGCUGACAUUCAACUUAUUUCAGCCAUUGAGGUCAGCUGGAGAUCCUGACCAGCGUUAGUGACCUGUUGUCCCUGCUGUGGCCCUGUGUCUGGAGGUGAUCCAAGGAGACCCCAUUCAUCAUUUCUCUCUGCACCUACACCUCAUUUCAGCAUAAUCAAGACCAACUUAGAAAGGUUAGCUGUGGUCAGAAGAAAUUUAUGAAGAGUGGCUAUUAAGAGAUAGAGCACAUGUAUGCAGACUGUGUUUAAUAAUGUGACUAUUCAGCCUGCGUUCAUGUGACUCACGAGUGACCUAAGCAGUUUCUUCACAAAGCACACAUGGAGAGCACAGACACAGAGGCAAGUUGGGGGAGAGCCCUGGCAGGUAAAUUUUCUGCGCUCAGUGACCUGGGAACAGGAAUGAAAAAUCCUACUGCUCUUUUGGGAGAAAGGCUAAAAUUCACAGGCGGCAAUCCUUGCUCAGGACAUUUUGAUUGCUGAGGGCACGUUCUAACUUUCGGUUCAGCUCUGUCUAUUGGCCUGUCAAGCAUACCUCAGGUGUCAUAAAAUGGGUUCCACUUCAGUACAGUGACCCCAUUCUCUACCACUGGGGUGUGAGAGUACAGGAUUUAGGAUACCACUCACUGGAGACUAUGUCCCCAGCUCCAGACAUAACUUCAUCUAAUUAUUCCAAACAAAUGCCUGUUGUGGGCUCUCUUGCCUUACACAUCAAGUCCCAGUGACUUCCAGAGAUGGUAACCACACGAAUCAAUAUUGCCAUUGUGUUAGAUGUAGCACUCCCUGCCAGAAAUCUGUCUCACUGUGAUGAUUACGUAAAAGGUUCUUAGAUGGUUUUCCUACCACAAUCCUUGACUCUAGGGUUAGAUAAAGUUACCUGAAAAGGUCACCUUAUUCAGGUAACUAUAUGCAAGAAUCAUCUGAGGCCAGUGUAGUAUGAAACAUGUUUAAUGCCCUAUACAGCAUGGGCACCAGGCAAUCCAAAUGGAGGCUGGUCAAUGAGCCGAAUGUAUCAGCCCUGCCAAAGAACUACCUACGUGAGCGGUGAUCUCAGCCUCCAGUUCCCCUCACGAUCUGCAGAUUAAAUGAUCACUUUUCAGAGUUUUUGUGUGUCAUCUCAUCUAUUUCAACAGGUUACCUCCCUUUUUUCUAAGGGAAGUAAGUGACAUGCUUAAGGUCAGAGGUAAUCCAAAUAAAUUCUGGAACCCCAUGUGCUCCAAUCUGGAUAUGUUAUCUCAGGCAUAGAAACACAACCUAGAAAACCAAAAGUAACCAUACAUCUUUCAAACCUUUUAUCAGUUCUUCCAGGAAAUGACAAAGAGGAACGCGUGUUCUUAAUAAACAGCUAAAGUUAUCAUCUUUUCUCUCCACUGCUUCCUUCCUUAGCACAUUUCACAUAGACUGCAGCUGCUCCUUUACCAGCCUCUCUAUUUUCCUCCUGUCACUCUCUCUGAAGGUCUUCCACAUGUGUGGGCUCAACGAUCCCCCUUCCACUGCUUAAGGGAGCGCAGUGAGGUCUUACCCAGCAGCCAUCUUGGCCAUGCUGCGGGAGGAGCCGGGGAACCGGAAGCCAUAUACAAAUCCACAAAUCCCCAGCAACCUAGACCUUCAUAUUUGUUAGGGAGAGAAGCACCCAGGGCCCACCGAGAAAUGCAGUUCCUGUGGUCUGACAGAUCUUGUGACAAAUCAUUUUUGGAAAUUUCGGUCGAACAAAAUUCUGAACCUCUUUGCAUGUAUACCUGCAAAAGCUAGAGUCCAGACCAAACCCUAGAGUUUCUGGGGUCUGUGCAAAUGGAGAGAGAAUAUGUCUCAUUUACUGCCGGCACAUAGUUAGGACACAGUAAAUAUGUAUUAAACCCAGGGUAAAUUGAGAAAUAAUUUAGGAAGAAAAUGACAUUAGGAGGGACCAGGUAUUGGAUAGUUUUUGACUGUCUGCCUGCCAGCCUGCCUGCCUUUUUUUUUUCCCUACCAGAAUGAUUUGAAUUGACCAUCUACAUUGAAAAACUUCAUUGAUUGAUGGUUUCAUUCUUCCAUUCGCUUUGUGCAGACCCUUUGUAAUUUACUUUUAUGUUCGGUCUCUGUUUUCUCUUCCUGUCACUUUGCCCCUCUCUUUUUCACUGCUUGCCUGAGAGUAAUUUUCCAUCAUAUUGUUAUAGCCAGAGGUCUCUGACAGGGUGGCAGUAAAAUGACACAGCUAAGUGAUACAGAUUUUAAUGACUUAAUGCCAUAAUAAUUUCUAACAGAAACAUAAGUAGAGACAGGGGUGAUGUUUUAAAAGACAUAAAAAUGGGAAGUGGACCAUGGACAAGUUGUACCUGAGACAGAACCGUGGCAGAAAUGGGAGCGAGACAGCUAUGCACAAAGUUGGUAGAGGCAGGCCCAUAAAACAGAUGCUGUUAGUAAAGGGGGAAAAGUCACAGAAGAGAAAAAUAUAGCAUUUUGAAAGUAUUCGAGAAAGAAAAAAAAAGAUGACAAAAAGAAAAUGUGGACUGGCUUCUUAACAGAGAAAAAGAGAAAAUAGGAAAUUACAGAAAAAGGACAGAAGGCUUGGCCUGUCUUACGAGCCAGCCAGGCUUGGUGACAAAGGUAACAUCCAGAAGAAUACUUAAGGUAAUAAUAGUCAAUGAGGAAAGAGCACGGAGAAGCAAUGCGCCUCAGAAUGCCCAGGGUAGGAAAAUCGCUGCAGACCACAAAAGGAGAGAACAGAGGAGUGCAGGCCAGCUGGCAACUAUUUCUGAAACCUCGUGGAGGAUUAUUAGGUUCCUAGGAAUUUGAAAAGGGAAAGAUACCAAAUUGUUAUUUUGACAGUGUGAUGAAAAUGUGUUAAAGUAGGUCACAGAGAAUCUGUGGAAUUGGUGGGCUUCCUUGGCACCAAGGUAAACUCUUGGUAAAAUGAAAAAAAUGGCUAAAAGAUAAAUGCAUAGCUAACUUGCCCACGGGCUCACGUGUGGGUCUCUAAGGGCCGUGGGUCAGAUGUCCGCCUCUUUCCAUCCCCGCCCCCGUUGCGUGAAAGCUCACUGUUUGUUCCUCUGAAGUUGGCUACAAAUCCACCUGUGGUAGAACUAAGCGCCUCUCACCGGGGGUUCUGGUUCUCUUCCCUUCUGCGCAUGCACGGAAGGACCAUACCUCCUCACCCCAGGGCAGAUGGGCAUGAACUUGUCUGGAUGGACGCAUUCAAGGGAGAGAGAAAGACAGAGCAUGAGCAGGGAAGGAGCAGAGAGAGAGGG